UACGGGAGGCAGCAGUGGGGAAUAUUGCACAAUGGGCGCAAGCCUGAUGCAGCCAUGCCGCGUGUAUGAAAAAGGCCUUCGGGUUGUAAAGUACUUUCAGUCGUGAGGAAGGUGUUAAGGUUAAUAACCUUAGCAAUUGACGUUAGCGACAGAAGAAGCACCGGCUAACUCCGUGCCAGCAGCCGCGGUAAUACGGAGGGUGCGAGCGUUAAUCGGAAUUACUGGGCGUAAAGGGCACGCAGGCGGUUAAUUAAGUUGGAUGUGAAAUCCCCGGGCUUAACCUGGGAAUGGCAUUCAAGACUGGUUAGCUAGAGUCUUGUAGAGGGGGUAGAAUUCCAUGUGUAGCGGUGAAAUGCGUAGAGAUGUGGAGGAUACCGGUGGCGAAGGCGGCCCCUGGACAAAGACUGACGCUCAUGUGCGAAAGCGGGGGAGCAAACAGGGAUUAGAUACCCGU
rnacentral:rRNA from 1 species